rnacentral:sRNA from 1 species
AAAAUUCAUAUAUGAGGAUUUAUACAAAACAAUGUGAUUAAUUUUUCUUAACAUUCCCAGUUAAAAAAAAACUAUGAUUAUUUAAUUAACUCUAGUGAAAAUUCGGCUGUCACAAACUGAGCCAAGGUUUUUCUACAGAAGUAGGUUACUUAUAAAUCAGCCAAUAGAUGUGUCUUUUAUGAUCAUUAUUCUAUAGUGCAGACUCAGAAAUUCUUUAUGCAGGUGGACAAGCUUAAAGGGGAACUAGAAACACAAAACAAGGAGAAAGGGAACACGGAAACUCGAGUGUUUGUUAGAGAAAAAAGUUAAUGACUUGAACUCAAAAUUAGAAGAUAUAUUUGAUGACAUGUCUUCAAUUGAGCAACAUGUCAUAAAGGAUAUUCGAGAGCAGUUGGU